CCAAAGGCUCUUUUCAGAGCCACCUACCCUUUCAAAAAGGGAGCUGU
rfam:Mus musculus chromosome 13, GRC primary reference assembly.